rnacentral:rRNA from 1 species
UACAGAGGGGGCAAGCGUUAAUCGGAAUUACUGGGCGUAAAGCGUGCGCAGGCGGUGAUGUAAGACAGAUGUGAAAUCCCCGGGCUCAACCUGGGAACUGCAUUUGUGACUGCAUCGCUGGAGUGCGGCAGAGGGGGAUGGAAUUCCGCGUGUAGCAGUGAAAUGCGUAGAUAUGCGGAGGAACACCGAUGGCGAAGGCAAUCCCCUGGGCCUGCACUGACGCUCAUGCACGAAAGCGUGGGGAGCAAACAGG